rnacentral:rRNA from 1 species
AUGGCCAACGCAAUGUUGCUCGCUGUGCUCGUCUCCUUCCUCGUCCUGCCCUUCUCCGCCCUGGCCCUGACCCAGGACUUCUGCGUGGCCGACCUGGCCUGCCCCGACACGCCGGCGGGGUACCCGUGCAAAAAGGGCGUCGGCCCGGGCGACUUCUACUACCACGGCCUCGCCACCGCGGGCAACACCAACAACCUCAUCAAGGCGGCCGUCACGCCGGCCUUCGUGGGCCAGUUCCCCGGCGUCAACGGGCUGGGCAUCUCCGCGGCCAGGCUCGACAUCGCCGUCGGCGGCGUCGUGCCGCUCCACACCCACCCGGCCGCCUCUGAGCUGCUCUUCGUCACCGAGGGCACCAUCCUCGCCGGCUUCAUCAGCUCCUCUUCCAACACCGUCUACACCAAGACGCUCUACAAGGGCGACAUCAUGGUCUUCCCUCAGGGCCUGCUCCACUACCAGUACAACGGCGGCAGCUCCCCGGCCGUCGCCCUCGUCGCCUUCAGCGGCCCUAACCCCGGCCUGCAGAUCACCGACUACGCGCUCUUCGCCAACAACCUGCCGUCCGCCGUCGUCGAGACCGUCACCUUCCUCGACGACGCGCAGGUCAAGAAGCUCAAGUCCGUGCUCGGCGGCACCGGCUAA